GCGGAGACAAAUGUUUCCGUUCACUCCUCACACCACACUCCGCCCGCUUUACAUUCGGGCGGUU
rnacentral:sRNA from 1 species